GGCGCUGUCCUCCUGGACGCGCCGAGAGGCCGAUGCGGUGGACCUUCUCCCGAAGGCGGCCACUUCGCCUGGUCCCCGCACAUC
ensembl:misc_RNA